AGACACUCAAGGAGCAUGCAGAAUGGAUUGCUCAGGAGUGUGGCCCCUGCCUUGGAUUGCCUUCACUUUGCGUGUCUGAAAGAGUGAGGACAAGAGCUGUUGGAAGGAGAAACGAGUCGCCUUUGCUCUUUCACCAGGCUCCCAGCCUGGGUCCCCUGCCCUCACCCACAGGCUGGACUCUAAGGAGGAGGACCAACAGAAAGAGAAACUGAGACAAACAGCAGCAUCAGCAGGCAGCACUCAGCUGUGUUUGCAAUCACAGAAGUAGCUGUGACUUCACUCAACAGUUUGGAAUGGAGUAGAAGAAGUCUUAUUUGCCACGGGAAGGAAAGCUUCUGAGCUUUAGCCAUUCCAUCAGACUUUGCAUCUGCGCGUGAAGGCGUAGCAAGAGAUCUGAUUCUGCUGCGCUGUGACACACUGAGUUCAUUAGCAUCCUUCCCUCUUCCUCCGAGGACAGCCAAAAACUCCAUCCCCCACACGGGACGCAUAAGGACUGGGAAUCUGUUUGCCAAUGGACCACUGGAUGCCAUGAAGAGAGCUCAUCCUUUAUUCUGCUUCGAUCUCUGGCCUGUCUGAUGAUUCUGUCAACAAGGGGUGACACCAUGCCAAGCAGUGUUGUGAUUUUUAUGACCUGGACAUCUGUCUAGUGUGUACUAGACUAGGACCACACGUUCUGUCAAAGAUGCUGUGGAAAAGCUGCCAGAAGGUAAUGAAUUUUAGCCACUGCUGACUUCAGCUGGAUACAAACAAAUGACCUACAGGGACCAGAUUCCGCAUCUCAUGUCUAAUCCUUUCAGACUAACCUCUCCUUCCAAGAUAUGAUGACAAAUGCACCAUUCAUGUAGAAACAAACUUGAAGCCAUGGUAAAAUAAAUUGGAAAACAAAAACCAUUUUGAGCAGAUACUGAACCAAAAAUUAUAAAUAAAACAAAACAUGGUUUUGUUUUCGAAAACCUUUAUGUUUUCCUACAUCUGAAAGGGUUAGAAGCAGAAAUAAUAAAAGAUUUCUGUAUUUCCUUUCCUGAUUUGUAAAUCCCAAAAUAGAAAUAGCUAUUAUAAUUACUACCUCACUCACACCACUCCCAGGACAGUGCAACUAAAAAACGACACAUUAAGAAAAAAGUAUAGCCAGUGCUCUUAAGUCCUGAUGGGACUCGGUAAGCUAGGAUCAGAUGGCAGGAGAG